GAAUGUCCUGAUGGCUGUUGAGAGAGCCAGGCCGGUGGGAAAAAGAGAAAGAAGGCUGACCAUCACACAUCAGACUGGUAGAUGGAUGAGACGAUGGGUUAAGUCCUCUCCGACCCAGAGACUCCAUAGAAUGACUACAAACUCCACAAGAAAAAGGACUGCUUCGGUCUUGGCUACGCUAGAAAUCCUGACCCCUGGCACAAGAUUGGGUGAAGAAGGGAUGGAAGAGAAGUACAGAGUUAAUUUCUUGUCCUUGAGGAUCAAAAAGCACACGUACCAUUGCCCCAUGCCUGAGGCGUCAGCCCAGGUUGAACUCCCUUCCACAGUGGUGCUGGCGGUCCCAUCAUUUCCCAGAUGUUCAACCUCAGAGAGUCAGCAGGCGGUCAGGUACCAUAGCUAAUAGAACCCGUAGUAAUGGAAACUCCAAAAGAAUACCGGUGUGGACCGUGAGUGAUCUCAGAAGACAUCUUUCACUAUUUCCUGAUUCUGGAAUUCUAGUCACUCCCCCAUUCCCAACAAACUAUUGAUUCCACACUCUCCUCCAAUUCUUGCCACUGUAGAAGCCCCGCCCCCUUCUGCUCUUUGCUUUUUGAGCCACAAAAGGACAUGCCAGGUGGCUCUCUGCCCACAGCUCAGAGGAGGGAACGAGGACCCAGGGCUCUGGCUUGAGGAAUGGGAGAGUCAUUUGCUCUUCUUCGAGGCUCUUCUUCUUAAGGAUCUCCUGCAUCCUGCACUGAGACAUUUGCCAUAGCAGAGGAAGCAAUGAGACCUCAAGUCCCAAAAUGUGGGUUGCAGUGCCAGCUGUGUGACUUGGACCAUGUACCAGCUGUGUGACUUGGGAGGUUAAGUCACUUCACCUCUCUAAUUCUCAGUUUCCUGGUCUAUAAAAUGAAGAUGAUAAUAUCCCACAUCUCUCAUGCACUGUUGUGAAGGAGUUUUAAAAUGCAUAUACUUCGGCCAACAAUUCCGCUUAUAGAAAUGUACCCAAGGAAAUACCCGGACAAGUACGCAAAAUGAGUAAGUACAGAGAUGUUCCUGAGACAUUGCUUACAAUACUGAAAAAAUUGAAGCAGUCUAAUGUCUGUCCAUAUGGAAUUUAAGUAAUUAUAACAUAUCCACAGUUGGGAUAAGUGUAGGCAUUUAAAAUAAUACAGUACAUCUCCAUUUACUGUUAGCAAUUUAUCUUACAGGUGAUAUGAUUAGAUAUGCAAAGAAUAAGUUGGGUAGGCUAUCCAAGACCCUAAGUAU